CCUUUCCUUCCCGAUGCCAUCUUAGGCCGCCCGCAACAGAACAGCAGAGGUCCUGAUACACACACAGCGCUCUCGCCGCCGCCGGCGGCCAGGGCGACGGCGGGCAUGGAGGGGAAGAUCCCGCCCCUGCUCAUGGGGCGGUACGAGCUGGGCAAGCUGCUCGGCAGGGGCAGCUUCGCCAAGGUGCACCACGCGCGGAACGUGGAGACCGGCGAGGAGGUGGCCAUCAAGAUCAUGGACAAGGACCACCUGGCCCGCUCCGGCGCCGCGCAGCGGCAGGUCAUGCGCGAGAUCGACAUCAUGCGCCGCGUGCGCCACCCUCACGUCGUGCGCAUCCACGAGGUGAUGGCCACCCGGCGGAGCAUCUUCGUCGUCAUGGAGUUCGUCGGCGGCGGCUCCCUCGACGCCUACCUCGUCCACCGCGCGGGGCGCGGCGUCGGCGAGGCCCCCGCGCGCCGCGUGUUCCAGCAGCUCGUGUCCGCGCUCGACUACUGCCACUCCCUCGGGGUGUACCACCGCGACAUCAAGCCCGACAACAUCCUCGUCGACGCCGCGGGCAACAUCAAGGUCGCUGACUUCGGGCUCUCCGCGCUCGCCGGCACGGCGCAGCGGGAGGCGCUGCUCCACACCGUCUGCGGGACGCCCAUGUUCAUCGCGCCCGAGGUCUUCAUGCGCCGGGGCUACGACGGCGCCAGGGCCGACGUCUGGGCCUGCGGCGUCGUCCUCUUCGCGCUCGUCGCCGGCCGCUUCCCCUUCAACCACAAGGACACCAGCCUCUACCACAUGAUCCGCCGCUGCGACUACCACUGCCCGCCGUGGUUCAGCCCCGGCCUCGUCCGCCUCCUCCGCCGCCUCCUGUGUCCUGACCCGGCGCGCCGGAUCGCCAUCCCGCAGAUCACGGAGAAUACGGGAGCCCCGAGCUGCGGGACUCCGACUCCGACGACGACUCGACCGUAUCAAUGGCGUCGUCGGAGGAUCCGUCCUCUCCGGUGGCGCGCGCGCAGCAACGUGGCUACGGCAGCCGCAUGCACACCUCGGUCUCGGCGCCAUCGCUGACCACGCUCGAGAGUACUGGCGGCGCCGCCGUCCAGGGCUCCCCGCGCAUAGGCCGGCCGAGGAGCCUGAACGCAUUCGACAUCAUCGCGUCCUCGCCGAGCCUGGACCUGACCGGGCUUUUCGACGAGCCGGGCGAGCAGAUGCGGUUCGUGUCCGCCGCGCCCGUGUCCAAGAUCAUCUCCAAGCUGGAGGAGAUCGCCGGGCACGUCAGCUUCACGGCGCGCACCAAGGAGUACCAGGUGAGCAUCGAGGGGGACGGGAACAGGGGCGCGCUGCUCGUCUCCGCCAAGAUCUUCGAGCUCACGCCGGAGCUCGUCAUGCUCAAGGUGUGGAAGAAAGCCGGCGACACUGCCAGGUACCGGGAGUUCUGCAACAAUGAGCUCAAGCCCGGUCUGCGUGGCCUCGUGGACGGGUUGCCAGAGGAGGGAGGUGAACCCAUAGCCUCCAACUCCGGAUGAUCGGUGGAAUCCAGCAUCAGGGCGUGGCUCAUGUAUCUUCAAUUUUAUUUCAACAGUUCGAUAGUAUGUUCUAGGAGUUUUGACAGUGUAAUGCCUUAUUGGUGUAUCAAGGGUGUAUCAUGCAACUGUUGUUGUGUUAGGUAGCUAAAUUCUAGGUAUGCCCCUUCUCAUCUUUGGGCGCUGGUUUUAGAAAAUGAAACCAUCUAUUGUUUAGUGCACUUUUCUUUUACUAAAGGUUGAUUUGGUGUCCCAAUUCAGUUCUCGCUUGAUAUGGUAGCACAUCUUGUGAUUUUCUCACACAAGAUUAGUUGUGCUGUUAAUUUCUUGAAUAUUGGACAAUAAGCACAUAGAUGUUAAGCAUA